GACAAUCAAAGAUACGUAGGAACACGACCGCAACCCAUAUGUUUUUCAUAUUUUUCUUCUACUAUAUAAUAUCAUCAGUUUUUUUUAUUAUGUUUAUUAUUUUAUUUGUAAUCAUGGUAGAUUUUAUAAUCCCUUACUUUCUAUUUUAUCCUUAGAUAACUUAUUUAAUAACUACUAUAUAGAGAUGUUUAGCCUGAUUAUUUUUCUACAAAAUUUACCCUUCAAUUGUUUUUAUAUUUACUAAGAAUCUCCAAAAAAAAUAACCGCGAGCGGUUAUAAUUUCAAAAGCAUAAACCACCGAUACUCAUUGAUGGAGCAAUAAACACAUAAUAAUCUGAUACUGUACUACAGUGAAAUUGAAAUGAGUUGAAGUGAGAAAGGUUUUCAUGGUUUUUAUGGAGGCAUCGUAUAAACAUGAAAAACUACAUACGUGCAAAG
rnacentral:lncRNA from 1 species